UACGUAGGUGGCAAGCGUUGCUCGGAAUCACUGGGCGUAAAGCGCACGUAGGCGGAUUGUUAAGUCAGGGGUGAAAUCCUGGAGCUCAACUCCAGAACUGCCUUUGAUACUGACGGUCUUGAGUUCGGGAGAGGUGAGUGGAACUGCGAGUGUAGAGGUGAAAUUCGUAGAUAUUCGCAAGAACACCAGUGGCGAAGGCGGCUCACUGGCCCGAUACUGACGCUGAGGUGCGAAAGCGUGGGGAGCAAACAGG
rnacentral:rRNA from 1 species